CCCAUUGUUAAGAUAAUCAUUCAUUAUCAGUAAUAAUAGACAGCACUUCAAAGCUCUAGUACAUUCAAUUCAUUAUUUACCCAUACACAUAUUCUAAUAAAAUUAUAUUCAUCACAUGCACCAAAUACAACAGGUGUAGACUUUACAGUGAAAAGCUUACGGACCUUUCCCAACAAUGCAGAGUUUAAAAUAGUAACACAUGAGAAAUAAAAUCAAAUACACAAGAAUAGAGCUAUAUACAGGAAGUACCAGUACUAGAUCAAUGUGGAGCUAUAUACAGGAAGUACCAGUACCAGAUCAGUGUGGAGCUAUAUACAGGAAGUACCAGUACCAGAUCAGUGUGGAGCUAUAUACAGGAAGUACCAGUACCAGAUAAAUGUGCAGGGUAUUUGAGGUAGAUAUGUACAUGAAGGCAGGGUAAAGUGACUAGGCAUCAGGAUAGAUAAUAAUAAGGUAUUUGAGGUUGAUAUGUACAUGAAGGCAGGGUAAAGUGACUCGUCAUCAGGAUAGAUAAUAAUAAGGUAUUUGAGGUUGAUAUGUACAUGAAGGCAGGGUAAAGUGACUCGUCAUCAGGAUAGAUAAUAAGGUAUUUGAGGUAGAUAUGUACAUGAAGGCAGGGUAAAGUGACUCGUCAUCAGGAUAGAUAAUAAGGUAUUUGAGGUAGAUAUGCACAUGAAGGCAGGGUAAAGUGACUAGGCAUCCGGAUAGAUAAUAAUAAGGUAUUUGAGGUUGAUAUGUACAUGAAGGCAGGGUAAAGUGACUCGUCAUCAGGAUAGAUAAUAAUAAGGUAUUUGAGGUUGAUAUGUACAUGAAGGCAGGGUAAAGUGACUCGUCAUCAGGAUAGAUAAUAAGGUAUUUGAGGUAGAUAUGCACAUGAAGGCAGGGUAAAGUGACUCGUCAUCAGGAUAGAUAAUAAAAAGGUAUUUGAGGUUGAUAUGUACAUGAAGGCAGGGUAAAGUGACUCGUCAUCAGGAUAGAUAAUAAUAAGGUAUUUGAGGUUGAUAUGUACAUGAAGGCAGGGUAAAGUGACUCGUCAUCAGGAUAGAUAAUAAUAAGGUAUUUGAGGUUGAUAUGUACAUGAAGGCAGGGUAAAGUGACUAGGCAUCAGGAUAGAUAAUAAUAAGGUAUUUGAGGUUGAUAUGUACAUGAAGGCAGGGUAAAGUGACUAGGUAUCAGGAUAGAUAAUAAUAAGGUAUUUGAGGUUGAUAUGUACAUGAAGGCAGGGUAAAGUGACUCGUCAUCAGGAUAGAUAAUAAAAAGGUAUUUGAGGUUGAUAUGUACAUGAAGGCAGGGUAAAGUGACUAGGCAUCCGGAUAGAUAAUAAUAAGGUAUUUGAGGUUGAUAUGUACAUGAAGGCAGGGUAAAGUGACUCGUCAUCAGGAUAGAUAAUAAUAAGGUAUUUGAGGUUGAUAUGUACAUGAAGGCAGGGUAAAGUGACUCGUCAUCAGGAUAGAUAAUAAUAAGGUAUUUGAGGUUGAUAUAUACAUGAAGGCAGGGUAAAGUGACUCGUCAUCAGGAUAGAUAAUAAU